UCGGUGGACAGGUGGUGCAUGGUUGUCGUCAGCUCGUGUCGUGAGAUGUUGGGUUAAGUCCCGCAACGAGCGCAACCCUCGUCCUAUGUUGCCAGCGGGUCAUGCCGGGACUCAUGGGAGACUGCCGGGGUCAACUCGGAGGAAGUGGGGAUGACGUCAAAUCAUCAUGCCCCUUAUGUCUUGGGCUUCACGCAUGCUACAAUGGCCGGUACAAAGGGCUGCGAUACCGCGAGGUGGAGCGAAUCCCAGAAAGCCGGUCUCAGUUCGGAUUGGGGUCUGCAACUCGACCCCAUGAAGUCGGAGUCGCUAGUAAUCGCAGAUCAGCAACGCUGCGGUGAAUACGUUCCCGGGCCUU
rnacentral:rRNA from 1 species